rnacentral:rRNA from 1 species
UACGAAGGGGGCUAGCGUUGCUCGGAAUCACUGGGCGUAAAGGGUGCGUAGGCGGGUCUUUAAGUCAGGGGUGAAAUCCUGGAGCUCAACUCCAGAACUGCCUUUGAUACUGAGGAUCUUGAGUUCGGGAGAGGUGAGUGGAACUGCGAGUGUAGAGGUGAAAUUCGUAGAUAUUCGCAAGAACACCAGUGGCGAAGGCGGCUCACUGGCCCGAUACUGACGCUGAGACUCGAAAGCGUGGGGAGCAAACAGG